rnacentral:lncRNA from 1 species
GUUCUAUUAAAUAUGCUCAGGUGCUUAGCAACAUCAGUGCAAUCCUCCCAGCAUCCCCGCCCUCUCCAUGGCAACACGCUGGCGGCAUGUUAAAAUUCAGAGAAACAAAAGUUUCCAAAUGGUUUCUGAAAAGCACAAGUCAGCUGGAAGGAGCCAACUAGGAAAGGCUCCAAUGCCAAGGGUUUUGCCUACUCACUUGUACUACUGUGCUACUUAAUUAUGGACUAAUUGAGGAGCUGGAAGGAUUCUGCUCCAAGUUACUAAGGGGGUGUUCAUAUUUUUAAUACUCCCUAAUGUGCUUCUAGGAUUUCCUGCCUGCCUGGAUUAGUUAAACCAUGGGGAGCCAGUGUGUGGCAUUCCAGAUGUUCUGUAGUAAAACUCCCACAACAAAACAAAACAUGGCCAAUGGUCAGCAACAAUGGAGGGUGCUGUCCACAUCUGGAUGACACAAUGUACAUGGGCUUUGUAGCAGUGAAAUGGUGAAAUGGCUUUAUGGCUUUGUUUUUUCUUUUCCUUUUUUCUUUCUUUAGGUACACAAAUUUGGUAUAUAAACUUUGUAUACGUGUUGGAAAUUAUAUUAUAAUAUGCCCUGUAAUGUAAUAUGAUAAUGUAUACAUAUGUGACAUAGGAACGUUAAUUUUUUUAAAAAAGGAAAAAGAAAUAAAAAAA